AUUGAACGCUGGCGGCAGGCCUAACACAUGCAAGUCGAGCGAGCGGCGGACGGGUGAGUAAUGUCUGGGAAACUGCCUGAUGGAGGGGGAUAACUACUGGAAACGGUAGCUAAUACCGCAUACCAUCAGAUGUGCCCAGAUGGGAUUAGCUAGUAGGUGGGGUAAUGGCUCACCUAGGCGACGAUCCCUCGCUGGUCUGAGAGGAUGACCAGCACAACUGGAACUGAGACACGGCCCAGACUCCUACGGGAGGCAGCAGGGGGGAAUAUUCCCCAAUGGGCGAAAGCCGGAUGCAGACAUGCCGCGGGGGUGAAGAAGGCCUUCGGGUUGUAAAGCCCUUUCAGCGGGGAGGCGUUACCCGCAGAAGAAGCACCGGCUAACUCCGUGCCAGCAGCCGCGGUAAUUC
rnacentral:rRNA from 1 species